UAAACCUCGAUGCUCUUGACUUGGUCCUCAUACCCUAUCCCUUCCAACAACUCCCCCUCUAUGUCGCCAUUUCUUCCGGCUACACCUAAUCUUUCUGGCCAUUUAUAUAACCCUCCCCACAUCCACUCUUCUCUAUACCGAUAACACUCCUCACACCGCUUACCAUAUUCGUCAUCUCCGCAUCACAGCAUCACCGUCGCACCACUAUUACAACGCCAUCACCAAGACCACUAUUACACCGCCAUCGCCAAGACAUCCCACCAUCAACGUCUCCUCCUUCUCCCUCUUAAUCAGAGACCACCAAAAUCCUUCAUCCUACUCCCAUUCUUCUUUAAUGAUGACCACUGUGUCAUUGCUCUCCAAAACGAAUGUUGUUCUCCCCCUUCAUCUCCAUCAUCAGUUAACAGUAAGACAAAUGCCUUCUUUCCAAACCCUAGAAACCCGUGCCGGAGUUGUAACCACCUCCUUCACAUGUUUCUUCUGUAUGCCCUAAUUAAAUUCGACCCUGUGCAACUUCAUGGAACGAAAUACUCCCAAUGUCUCUCUUUCUCCCUAUCUACAUCAACGAUGCUUGCUGGAAACGAAGCUUUCAAAAAUGACAAUCAUGCCCUUUUGACGAUUUUGUCAAAAUAAUCCAUGGUAUAACUUCUUGGGGACAUCAUGAAGAGGCUUAGGCGGGUUGUGGUUUGAUUUUAGGGUGACUGCAUUGACUGCCUAAAUCUCCCAUUUUCCAAGAUCAGGACAAACACCCCUAUUCUGGUAAUAUGUUUUUAGAUCCUUGUAUGUAUAUUCAGGAUUUAUGUCUCUGUUAUCAUGACUUAAUGUGUUUGGUAUUGUCCUUUUUGCAUAUUAUUCUAUUUCUUUGACAAAACUGACAUUCCGAUUCUGGUCCUUUGAACCUUUAGCUCAUUAUACAUCAGUUUUGCAUAAAAAUGAAUCUUUGAUAUGUGUUUAAUGUGAUUAUGUGAUAGGUUUUGGGACUUGAUACACAUGACACAACAACAAUCAGUGGUGAUGAUGGAAAAAAGUUGGCCUUCCGGUUAUAAUUAAACAUGUUUUUUUGGGUUUGGAUACAUAUUGGUGUCGCCAAGACAAAAAAUAUAAUUCCUCAGGCUUGAUAAAAUAUAAACGGUACAGUCAUUAAGGAAGUACUUAAAGAUAAUGCAGAUUUGAGGUGUUUGUGGGGUGCAACAGUGUGAACAGAUGGAAAAACUGUUUUACUAAUAGGAUCUGUUGGUUUUCUGUAUCUGAAGUCACUUCUAAACCUUUGCUUGAGUAUGGUGUUGCCAUCAAGGAACUGUUCUAACAGAAAAAUUGGUUCUUGGAUACAAUGUUGUUAAAGGCAAUAAAUCUUUUGUAUUCUCCAUAACAUCAUAUGAGAUUUUGUUGCGACAUGUAAUUUUAAAUCUUUACAUGAGAUUUUCUUGGGACGUGUAUUACGCAAAUGUAAUUUUAAAUCUUUAUUGUAAUUGUAUAAGUACUUCUUAAUUUCAAGAAGUGGAUUUCUUUGUUUA